AGCUUCCCCUUCGGGGGCAAAGUGACAGGUGGUGCAUGGUUGUCGUCAGCUCGUGUCGUGAGAUGUUGGGUUAAGUCCCGCAACGAGCGCAACCCUUAUUGUUAGUUGCCAUCAUUUAGUUGGGCACUCUAGCAAGACUGCCGGUGACAAACCGGAGGAAGGUGGGGAUGACGUCAAAUCAUCAUGCCCCUUAUGACCUGGGCUACACACGUGCUACAAUGGGAAGUACAACGAGUCGCAAAGUCGCGAGGCUAAGCUAAUCUCUUAAAGCUUCUCUCAGUUCGGAUUGUAGGCUGCAACUCGCCUACAUGAAGCCGGAAUCGCUAGUAAUCGCGGAUCAGCACGCCGCGGUGAAUACGUUCCCGGGCCUUGUACACACCGCCCGUCACACCACGAGAGUUUGUAACACCCGAAGUCGGUGAGGUAACCUUUUGGAGCCAGCCGCCUAAGGUGGGAUAGAUGAUUGGGGUGAAGUCGUAACAAGGUAGCCGUAUCGGAAGGUGCGGCUGGAUCACCUCCUUUCUAAGGAA
rnacentral:rRNA from 1 species